CACCUGCGCCACAAGUGGCAUCCGCUUUUAUUGGGCCUAAAGCGUCCGUAGCCGGUUUUGUAAAUUUUCUGUGAAAUCGUUGCCCUUAAUGCAACGACGUGCAGAAAACACUGCAGAACUUGGGACCGGGAGGCGUCAGAGGUAUUCUGGAGGGAGCGGUAAAAUGCUAUAAUCUCCAGAGGACCCCCUGUGGCGAAGGCGUCUGACGAGAACGGAUCCGACGGUGAGGGACGAAAGCUAGGGGAGCAAACCGG
rnacentral:rRNA from 1 species